rnacentral:rRNA from 1 species
GACAGAGGUGCCGAGCGUUAGGCGGAAUUACUGGGCGUAAAGAGUGUGUAGGCGGUGCUCUAAGUUCGGUGUGAAAUCUCCUGGCUCAACUGGGAGGGUGCGCCGGAAACUGGAGUGCUUGAGCGUGGGAGAGGAAAGCGGAAUUCCUGGUGUAGCGGUGAAAUGCGUAGAUAUCAGGAGGAACACCUGUGGUGUAGACGGCUUUCUGGACCAUAGCUGACGCUGAGACACGAAAGCGUGGGUAGCAAACAGG